AAAAGAAGUUCUGUUUUGCCACAAAGAAAACACAAACAAUUGACCCCACUAGUUAAAGGAUUUCCUAGAAUGACCAGAAAACCUUAACUCAUCACCCCUCACCUAUCCCCUGCAGUGACUCACUAUUACACACAGCUAAAUGCAAGCUCCUAAAUUUGGCAAGUAAGGUCCCUACAUUAGAUGGCCUUUACCCACAAGAGAGGAAGAAAGGAUUCUCCUCUGCCCACAUGCCAGGGAAAAGCCUCCUAUGUGUGCAGACCAGGGUGAGUGAAGGCAAGGCAGCUAACUGUGGAAGCGGGCAACAGUAAGGAAAAAGAACAGAGAGAAAGAAGGAAGGAUGGAGACGAGGAGAAAAGAAGGGAAGAAGGAAGGAGACAGGCAAGCCUGCUGGAGAGAGAAGCAUGGGUACUUGGGUUGGGAGCCAUUAAGAAAACAUCUGGAGGAGCAAAUGUUCACCACAUGGUGAGACAACAUCAAGACAAGUGGGUGAAGACUUGGGAGAAGUUUUGCUUUAAGUUAUGUAGGCCACUCUGGGGUGCCAAGCAAGAAGGCAGCAAAUAUUGUAAUUUUUGUUUUCAGUUAUUUGGGAUUAUUUGUCAUUAUUUUUCAAUUAUUUGGAAUGUGAAAUUAACGCUUCUUAGAAAGUGUCGUCAUGCCAAGACAGGGCCACCCCGGGGCUGGGCUUUCCAGGGGUGCCCUGUGGCUUCAUAUGAUACAGACAUUUGUACUCACCCUCACACACCCCAUGCCAUUUCCACAGCCCUGGCUGGGGUUGGUCCUGCCCGUGGCAACCCUGGGUGCCCCCUCCAGCCUGACUUAGCCUAGACCUUGCCAGCUCCAAAGACUGCCUGAGUGCGGCUCCCUGCCCUGUGCCCUGAGCACUCCAUUCCACAUCUCACGUUGUUUGGCCAAAUGUCUUUUUAAGAAUCCUUUGUAAAAAGCCCAUCUGGGGUCUGUGUCCCCCACCAGACUUGGAGUACCCCAAAGGUAGAUAAUGCUUUAUUCAUCCUCAUUUUCCCAGCAAUGAGCACAGCACAAAAUACCUAACCCACCAUGCAGUCUUUGGGGAGUAAAAAAAAUCACUCCGUUUUUUUAAGGCCUUGAUUUCCUUUCCCUAAAAACAGGGUUCAGGGAGUAGGGCCACCGAGAGAAGCAAAUGAGACAAUGGAUAAGAGGGAAAUCUGGAAACAGAUUCAGGAGAGCCCUGGAGAUCCUAAGCUGUAACAAGUUCAUUAAAGCUUUUUAGUUCUUACUCACUCCCCAAAGUAGAUGCUGUAUCUUCCCAUUAGGGGCUACCAGAACCACCAUGCCCUUCCAGAAAUCUGCAGCCUGUGGGAAAGACUGGAUGGGUCCCUAGAGGCCAGGGCUGACCUAGUCAGGAAGGCUGCAUUCCGGUGGCUGUGCCUCCAUCCAGAGGAUGUGGGAGAAACACUGAGGUUCCCUGAUCAGUCACCAUAGGUCAUGGCAGCUUGGCCCUUGCCAAGAAGUCCAGCACCCUUUCCCACCAAGAUACACUGAGAGCCUGAAAUCUAGUCUUGGUUCUGCAUCUCCAGUCGUGGGGGGCAGGGGCACUCUGAUGAACAAGCCUUCUGGGCCUGGUUACCAAGGGAGAGUCCCAGCUCCUCGGCACUGGGUCAGGGGUAUGAUGACGAUGUGCCCUCAGAUCAGGAAUCUCACUCAUGAGCUCAACCCUGCCCCUCUCCACAGGGACCCAUGGCCAGGAGUAAGGAAGACCAGGAAAGCCACCUCCUAAAAUUACCAGGGGCUGUAUUUAUAGCCCAUCGUACUUUAAGACGCUCUUGCUCACUAUUUCUGGGAGAGGUUUCAGUCUACAAUCAAAGAAGUCUAAAACUUAAAGCUUUCAGAUACCAACAUUAAAGACAAGAAAGAGUGUUAUGCCUGCAAAGAAGCUCCAGUGUCAUCAAGUCUGGCGACUAUAAAGACGUGUUACUGUCAUGGGCCUCUCCGGAUUCAGAUGAAAGCUAUAGACCUCUCUCCACAUCCCCCAAAAAGCAUGCUCAAAAAACAUUUUGCCCACACCCUUGUGGUCCUCAGAUUAAGAACUCCUAAACCAAUCUCACUUUAUAGAUGAGAAGAUUGUAGCUCUGAGAAGUUAAGUGAUUUGCCCAAGAUCUCACAGCCAAUUCAGAGUAGAGCCAGGACUUGAACCCUGGCCUCCCACUUCUCAGUCCCAUGCUCUUUCCACCCCACUGCACUGCCUGUUUCAAAUUCAGAAUCAAAAAUUUUCUUUUUUAAAACAUAGCUCAUUUCUUCCUGAAAUACCAUUUCCUUCAUGUUUUUAAAUAGCCCUGAGAGUCCAUUGUAUGUCUGUCCUAGUAGUGACAGGAUGGGGUCACCCGGGCUAUGUUUCAUGAGCAGUAAUGAACGAGCCUGCUGUUUGCUAGAGAACGAUCAUGAGUGAAGACUUUUCCUAACCUUUCUGUAGAGUUAGCCUUAUCUAAGAACAGAAUCCAAUUGUGAUUGGAAUAAGAAUCCUGAAAAUCUCACUUACAUUUGGCUGGGGGCAGGAGAAACUGCCAACUAGAGAACAGAAGAAAAAGGAAAAAGAAUAUAAGGAUUGCACCAUGUCACUGUGAUAGAGAGAAAAGUUCUCAAUUCGUUUUUCACCUUCCUUCUCCAUUGUCCAAAGGCACAUAACAGAAGAAGAGAUUGCAAGCUAUGGUAGGCUUUACCCACGAGAGGAAGGAAGGAAGGGAUGCUCUCGGCAACCCAGACGCAGACCCAGAACCACAUUUAGGGCAGAUGGAAGAGUUCGUACAGUACUAGCUACAGAGCUUAUUAGAAAAGACUAUGGAUACACAACUUCCAACAUGAGAGGUCAGAUUAAGGCCUUCUCAAAUGCAGGCUGAAAUAUCUCCACACAGUCUUCCAUGCCAUCUUCGAGGCUCUACUUACUGUCAUCUUCACUCAGAUUCCUGUCCAUGGUCCAGACGUCCUGCCAGAGAGAUGUCUGCCCUUCUAGUGUGCUUCGACCAAUGUGCUCUGAUGGAGCCCCUCCCAGAACAGCAGACCCAUUGUUACUCAGUUUGAAUACAACAAAGGGAAACAUCUAUACCAUUCAUCAUAGCAGCUGCUCUACACCCAAUCUACCGGGUUCUGGGAGCUCCUCCUCCACAAGAGCCUUCUACUGGCCAAGCUCUUGUGGAUACUUCUAGUUACUCAUGUCCUCAUGACACCCCUUGAGAGGGGCACUGGUAUUAUGCCCAAUUUUCUGAGCAGGAUGAAAGAUUCAAACCCUCAUCGGUCUGACUCUCCGGACAGAGUGCCUGAUCACUGAGCUACAUUGCCCAGCUGUAGGAGGUAGACUCCUAAGUAUUGUGGGGAGCAUGCAGAGAAAGGUCAUAACCACAAGGAGGCGACCUCCCCGAGGGGGAUAUUAUAUACAAAUACUCAGGCUGGAAAGGGUCUCUGAGGUCUUGACCAUCACCAGCCUCAUCUCCCUGGGGAAGAAACAAGGCUGGGAUUAUGAGGCCACACUGCAAAGCCACACAGCACUUCGUGGGCAGAGCUGGCUCCCAACCCGGCCGCAUGGUUCACUACUGUUGCCACACCAGCCUCACCCACUGUGAAAUAUCUCUGGAUUUGUAAAAGGGCUUUUCCUAAACUUUUCCCAUUGGAGUCUGACAGCCCUUCAACCUCAGUCCUUAGAAGAUCAUCCUCCUCUGCAUGAGUCUAAACACAGAGCUUGUGAGCUGGUCCUCGAGGCUCUACAGGUCCCAGCCCCUCCACUGCACCCUUGGCAAUCACUCCUCUGCAGCUAGGCCUCAGGUUCCCUGGCAAGGGCGAUGAAAGUGCCCUAUGCCUUGACUUCCCCAUCCCAGUAAUGCCCGUGGGAUGUGCCAUGAUAUUGCUCAACAACACCCUGGGAUUGCCUUCACCAGGGGAGCACCAGGACUACUUUGUCAGUGACCUAAAAUUUGGCCUGUCUGGGAUGGCCAUACUACACUGGAGAUGGCUCCCAGCUGCUCCAUAAAGAGCGUGUCUUUAUUCUCUCUGCCGCCUUCACCCUCAUCACUGACUGCCCAUCGCCGACAGCAUGCAAGUGCCAUCUUCCACAGUAUUCACAUUUUCACAAACGCUUCUUAGGUGACUCAGUCCUCACAAAUAGGUUUUCAUGGCUGGUAGGAGCACUGGAUUUCUUAUACUUGAGAGUCAGAUAAGUUUCAUUACUGUGUGUACAUGAGGAAGACCAUCAUCCUGAGGAAGAAAUGUGAUCUUUUGACACCUUUAUACAUGAAGCAAUGAUUUUUAAGUCCUUAUAGAAUUGUCCCCAUGGUAAUAGGAUUAUCGUGUAUUUGUGUGCCUCUCUGUAUGUAUAUUCUACCCUAAACAUUCGUACGAGAAUCCAUUUCUGUGUCUCUUUA